AACGAACGCUGGCGGCAUGCCUAACACAUGCAAGUCGAACGAGACCUUCGGGUCUAGUGGCGCACGGGUGCGUAACGCGUGGGAACCUGCCCUUAGGUUCGGAAUAACUCCCCGAAAGGGGUGCUAAUACCGGUUAAUGUCUUCGGACCAAAGAUUUAUCGCCUUUGGAUGGGCCCGCGUUGGAUUAGCUAGUUGGUAGGGUAAAAGCCUACCAAGGCGACGAUCCAUAGCUGGUCUGAGAGGAUGAUCAGCCACACUGGGACUGAGACACGGCCCAGACUCCUACGGGAGACAGCCGUGGGGGAUAUUGGACGAUGGGCGAAAGCCUGAUCCAGCAAUGCCGCGUGAGUGAUGAAGGCCUUAGGGUUGUAAAGCUCUUUUACCCGGGAUGAUAAUGACAGUACCGGGAGAAUAAGCGCCGGCUAACUCCGUG
rnacentral:rRNA from 1 species